rnacentral:rRNA from 1 species
UGGGGAUGACGUCAAGUCCUCAUGGCCCUUAUAGGUGGGGCUACACACGUCAUACAAUGGAUGGUACAAAGGGUCGCCAACCCGCGAGGGGGGAGCCAAUCCCAUAAAGCCAUUCGUAGUCCGGAUCGCAGUCUGCAACUCGACUGCGUGAAGUCGGAAUCGCUAGUAAUCGUGGAUCAGAAUGUCACGGUGAAUACGUUCCCGGGUCUU